GGCGCUAUAGCCAAGUGGUUACGGCGACAGAUUCGAAUAUCUUCUGUUAUCUGUUCCUCUUUGAGGGCGCAGGUUCAAAUCCUGCUGGCGUCG
rfam:Termitomyces sp. J132 unplaced genomic scaffold scaffold54, whole genome shotgun sequence.